rnacentral:rRNA from 1 species
GACGAACCGUGCGAACGUUGUUCGGAAUCACUGGGCUUAAAGGGCGCGUAGGCGGCAAUUCAAGUCCGGGGUGAAAGCCGCCAGCUCAACUGGGGAAGUGCCUUGGAAACUGGAGUGCUCGAGGGAGGUAGGGAUCGAGGGAACUUCUGGUGGAGCGGUGAAAUGCGUUGAUAUCAGAAGGAACGCCGGUGGCGAAAGCGCUCGACUGGACCUCUUCUGACGCUGAGGCGCGAAAGCUAGGGGAGCAAACGGG